rnacentral:tRNA from 1 species
UGCGUUGUGGCUCAGAGGUUGAGUACACGCCUAGCAUGUGCGAGGCACUGGGUUCAAUCCUCAGCACCACAU